GAUGAACGCUGGCGGCGUGCCUAACACAUGCAAGUCGAGCGGACAGAUCCGGCUUUUGCUUCGUUCUCGUGAGGGGCGGGCGGGUGAGGCACACGAGUAUCCCCUCCUUUGCAGACUGAGAUCACUACGGGACUGCUGAUAUUACAUCAGAUAAGAUAUUGAAACACGUGGUUCAUUGGAAAGAUUCGGCUUUGCUGUCACUACUAGAGGCUUCCUGGCCGUUUGAGCUAGUUGGUACGGUAACGGCUUACCAAGGCUAGGAUGCGUAGCCGAGCUGACAGAGUGAUCGGCCACACGGGAGCUGAGACACGGUCCAGACUCCUACGGGAGGCAGCAGUAGGGAAUCUUCGGCAAUGGGCGAAAGCCUGACGGAGCAACGCCGCGUGUGUGAUGAAGGUCUUCGGAUCGUAAAGCUCUGUUAUGAGGGAUGAACAGCUGUGUAAGUAGACGUGGCGAUCUUGACGGUACCAGGUCAAAAAGCACCGGCUAACUACGUG
rnacentral:rRNA from 1 species